rnacentral:lncRNA from 1 species
CGGUCAUUUCAUUUUGGUACUCCACAGGGAGAAGAAACCCAGAAUUCAAAUAAUACCAUUGUUUUUCUUUUCUAAAGCUGUCCUCACAUAUAUAUCAUCCUCAGCAAGCUAGAAGCCAUACAGGAUUAUGACAUAUGACCUAUUUCGAGAUUGCUAGUCAUUUCACUUAGCCAUGGUGCCACCCCCACCAAGCCUGGACCCAACACACUUGGCAACUGCAAGGGCUUAGUGGGUCUUUUCAGCAUGGUGGGAAGUGGCAGAGUAUAAAUAUAGUAGGUAUGGAUUUGAUAUGAUGGGGAGAAAUGGGGUUGGUUGAAUUGCAAUAUGUCUACCUGAUCCUCCAGGAGCCUGUUUCCCCCACAGGGCAACUAUAAUCCUUUGGCAAGCACUUUUCGGUUGAGGAUAAUCUCUCUAUCUCUUCACUUUUAUGUGAUGGGAGAAACUGGGUUUUUGAAUUGCUGUCAGAUUUCAAUGACAGGCUGUUUUCUCCCACAGGGCAACUUCAAUCCUUUGGCGGUUUCACUUCUAUUUGCGUCAUGUAAUUGGAUCAUUGGAAAAGGUCAUCAAGUAUUGGCCGGGAGUUAGUUUUCUAUUUUGGCAAUCUUUGUUCUACAUUUUUUCAUUUUUUCUCUUUUUAUAUUUUCUUAGUUCAUUUUGUAUGAAAUAAGCAUUGGCUUGGGUACUUUGCACAUGUGAUUUUGGUUCUGUAACUCCUGGAUGUAUAAGAAUUUAGCAAGUAAGGUCCAAGCACCACAUAAAAACCAUGAAAAAAGAAUAAUAGUUCAUCUGUUAUUUCAUCAGAAUCCAUAUCGUUUUACUGAUUUGCAGCUUAAUGUUAGGCCAUUUAGUCCACCAAAAAAUAAAUGAAUGGCAGC